rnacentral:rRNA from 1 species
GACGAACGCUGGCGGCGUGCCUAAUACAUGCAAGUUGAGCGCUGAAGGUUGGUACUUGUACCAACUGGAUGAGCAGCGAACGGGUGAGUAACGCGUGGGGAAUCUGCCUUUGAGCGGGGGACAACAUUUGGAAACGAAUGCUAAUACCGCAUAAAAACUUUAAACACAAGUUUUAAGUUUGAAAGAUGCAAUUGCAUCACUCAAAGAUGAUCCCGCGUUGUAUUAGCUAGUUGGUGAGGUAAAGGCUCACCAAGGCGAUGAUACAUAGCCGACCUGAGAGGGUGAUCGGCCACAUUGGGACUGAGACACGGCCCAAACUCCUACGGGAGGCAGCAGUAGGGAAUCUUCGGCAAUGGACGAAAGUCUGACCGAGCAACGCCGCGGGAGUGAAGAAGGUUGUCGGAUCGUAAAACUCUGUUGGUAGAGAAGAACGUUGGUGAGAGUGGAAAGCUCAUCAAGUGACGGUAACUACACAGAAAGGGACGGCUAACUACGUG